UACUUCAAAUUCAGAUAUAAACGUUAUGUAAUAUUUAUUCGGUAUAGAAAUAAUUUUUUCUGCCAAACAAAGAAAACAAAAAGACCAGUCUGCAUAUUGUAUAUAUAAUACUUUUCCCCCCGUGAUCCGGAUCGCGGCCGUGGUGUUUUCUGAAAGUGUCCACGGGCAACACACGUGUUUCCGUUUCAACGAAAACAACAACACAACAAACGCUUGUAUUGUAUUUUACAUCUUGAAAACGACCUCAUGUCAGAUGAAGAAGUCUGAAGAUACCUUGGAUAUCCUGUUGCAGGAUGACCCAAACGAUCAUGCAUUCAGUAUAAACAUGUUAUUGACAUCCCAAUAUUUAGUGGAAAGCUUCCAGGUAUCUUCCACUAGUGACAGUCUACUGGCAAAUCCAUACAUGCGAUGGAAGUAUGUUGGUGUGGAGGACACAGGGACACCUGAUCCAAGAACUGUGGCAUUUCAUUCGGAGUGACAACCUGGCAUGCAGUUGAUAUGGGACCUGAUUAUUCAGAGAAUUGCAGAUUUUAUGAAGCUGUUUUUGACAGAAGAUUUGGUUUUCUCCAUCUGUGUUGCCACCAACCAUUAUGCUGUGAUGGUCAUAUCAAGGGGGAAGGAUUGUCAUAUGCUUCCCAAGGAAGUUCGAAGCCUCUCACUGAAGAGGAACUGUACAGAUUUUUGGGCAUUAUCUUAUACAUGUCUGCUGAGAAGUUCCAGUCGAUAGACAGAUAUUGGUCAACGCAUGCCCCUAUCGGAACAACCUAGUAUCAAGAAUUAUGUCUAGAAAUAUGUUUUAACAGGUUGAAUAUAAGAAGAACAAUUUUUAUUAAAUAUAAUGCAAGUACAUUUAAAUUUAGUGAUUGGAAGUAAGGACUUGAACAUUCGUUUACAUGUACAAUGAACUUGGGGAGGAAAAACGGGCAUUAUUUUCGCAUAGCAUUUUAUAUCAUAAUGGUGUUGUUGCUUAGCAACCAAAUAUAUUUGAAUAUAAAAAAAUUGAUUUUUUAGAUUCUUUGUUUUAAUGUUGUAAUAUUUAUACUAUUUAGUGGGAUACAAUGGCAAAACGUCAUAUUACUAGAAAAUAAUGAAUAUGUAUAUGAAGUACGAAAUUUUCAUUUUAUGACCUUUGACCUUAAUUCUCUUCAUUAUAUUUUUUGUUAAAAACCUUUUAAAAUGAUUAAGAUCUAGUCAAAGAUUAUAUUUUUAAAAUAAUGUGACAUUUACUAAUCAUCAUGCAAUGUAAUUAUGUUUGAAUUGUGUCGAAUGGAUGUAGAAAGGCAAAUUAUGGUCAAAAUUACACCAUGAGUGUUGUUACUUAGCAACCAAAAAUAUUUGUUUGUCAAUAAAAUUGAUUAAUUUGA